rnacentral:rRNA from 1 species
GACGAACGCUGGCGGCGUGCUUAACACAUGCCAGUCGAACGGAAAGGCCCUGCUUUUGUGGGGUGCUCGAGUGGCGAACGGGUGAGUAACACGUGAGUAACCUGCCCUUGACUUUGGGAUAACUUCAGGAAACUGGGGCUAAUACCGGAUAGGAGCUCCUGCUGCAUGGUGGGGGUUGGAAAGUUUCGGCGGUUGGGGAUGGACUCGCGGCUUAUCAGCUUGUUGGUGGGGUAGUGGCUUACCAAGGCUUUGACGGGUAGCCGGCCUGAGAGGGUGACCGGCCACAUUGGGACUGAGAUACGGCCCAGACUACUACGGGAGGCAGCAGUGGGGAAUAUUGCACAAUGGGCGGAAGCCUGAUGCAGCAACGCCGCGUGCGGGAUGACGGCCUUCGGGUUGUAAACCGCUUUCGCCUGUGACGAAGCGUGAGUGACGGUAAUGGGUAAAGAAGCACCGGCUAACUACGUG